GGGAUAGAAUUCCAGGAGUAGCGGUGAAAUGCGUAGAUAUCUGGAGGAAUACCAAAGGCGAAGGCAGUCCCCUGGUCCGAUACUGACACUGAGGUACGAAAGCGUGGGGAGCAAACAGGAUUAGAUACCCUGGUAGUCCACGCCCUAAACGAUGUCGAUUAGCCAUUGGAAGGACCCCUUUUCCUUUCAGUGGCGUAGCUAACGCGUUAAAUCGACCGCCUGGGAAGUACGACCGCAAGGUUAAAACUCAAAGGAAUUGACGGGGACCUGAACAAGCGGUGAAUGAUGUGGAUUAAUUCGAUGCUACGCGAAGAACCUUACCUACCUUUGACAUGGCCAAAGUUCUACCGAGAGGCGGAAGUACUCGUAAGAGGAUUGGCGCACAGGUGCUGCAUGGUUGUCGUCAGUUCGUGUCGUGAGAUGUUGGGUUCAGUCCCGCAACGAACGCAACCCUUAUCUUUAAUUGCUCCUAUUUUAACAGGCACUUUAAAGAAACUGCCAAUGAUAAGUUGGAGGGAGGUGGGGAUCACGUCAAGUCCGCAUGGCCUUUAUAGGUAGGGCUUCACACGUCAUACAAUGGUUAGAACAAAGAGCUGCAAAUUCGUAAGAAGGAGCCAAUCUCACAAACCUAACCUCAGUUCGAAUUGCGGUCUGCAACUCGAGCGCAUGAAGCCGGAAUCGCUAGUAAUCGUGGAUCAGAAUGCCACGGUGAAUACGUUCUUAGGUCUU
rnacentral:rRNA from 1 species